rnacentral:rRNA from 1 species
AUUGAACGCUGGCGGCAGGCCUAACACAUGCAAGUCGAGCGGAUGAGAAGAGCUUGCUCUUCGAUUCAGCGGCGGACGGGUGAGUAAUGCCUAGGAAUCUGCCUGGUAGUGGGGGACAACGUCUCGAAAGGGACGCUAAUACCGCAUACGUCCUACGGGAGAAAGCGGGGGACCUUCGGGCCUUGCGCUAUCAGAUGAGCCUAGGUCGGAUUGGCUUGUUGGUGAGGUAAUGGCUCACCAAGGCGACGAUCCGUAACUGGUCUGAGAGGAUGAUCAGUCACACUGGAACUGAGACACGGUCCAGACUCCUACGGGAGGCAGCAGUGGGGAAUAUUGGACAAUGGGCGAAAGCCUGAUCCAGCCAUGCCGCGUGUGUGAAGAAGGUCUUCGGAUUGUAAAGCACUUUAAGUUGGGAGGAAGGGCAGUCAGCGAAUACCUGGUUGUUUUGACGUUACCGACAGAAUAAGCACCGGCUAACUCUGUGCCAGCCGCCGCGGUAACAC